AAACAGGGCCGGCGACGAUAUUGACGAAUUAGACAUUAUUUUGUGUAUGAAACAAUCGUAUUAUUGUGAUAUAUCUAUCUAUAUUGUUAUCUCUCCUUUUUUAUGUACCUGGCCAUUAAAUUAUAUUCUAAAUAAACAUAACUCAGAACAGAUUUUGUGCUCCCACCACUCCUCCUGAUCACAGAUCACGAAUUGAGAUUGUUUUUUUUUUCAGAUCAGGUUGUUGAUCAUUUUUUGAGGCCUUAGGUCCUUUUUUGAAGUGUGUGGUCGGCGCGUCUGUAAUUUGACGUGUUUCCCGCUUCAUGGACAGAUACUGAUGAACAUUCAGCAAUCACAGCCACAGUCUAGCUUCGUUUUGGGACCUCUACCACAUUCUACAUACCACACACAAGGGCAUUCGGGACAUAUUCAGCAGUCGCAUCAGAACUUCAGAACAGUGGCGCAUUCUCUGCCUCUCGGAUACCAGAACAGGACAGCGUACAACAAGGGGCGGAGAGAACGCAACCCAGCCAACAUGAGUAACUACGAAACAAACCCUGUUGGAGCUUUGCAGGAAAGAUUUCAGUCCCGAGGAAUCACACCUGUAUACAGAGUAGUCCAAGCUGCUGGAGCUAGUCAUGCACCAACAUUCUCCUUCCAGGUUAUCCUUGGAGAGCUGACUGCUACUGGGGCUGGGAGCAGCAAGAAGCAAGCAAAACAUUCAGCUGCCAGGGCUAUGCUGGAUAAACUGGACGGACGGGUUCCUGCUCAGGACGGUCAGCAACCCCUUCCUCCUGUUCAGGAUCCAAACUUCUCCCAGGCCCCUGGUAACACUGUAGGAGGACUGCAGGAGUUGUGUGUAAAGCAAGGGUUCCCUAUGCCGACCUACUCCGACGGAACAGUAGACGGACAACCUCAUCAGAGGAAUUUUUCUAUUACGUGCACGGUCGGUAAGAUGCAGGAGAAUGGUGCUGGAGGGUCUAAGAAAGAUGCAAAGCGUGAGGCGGCUCAAAAAAUGAUAGACAAAUUGAAAUCUCUGGGACAAAAUAGAACAGAACAGGUUGGAGGUGUAGUAGAUGUGUUGAGUGCUGAGGAUGAAGAGAUGAUAACUAAGAUCUCUAAUAUGAAGAUUGAUCUUCUAACUCCAGAUGCUAGUGAGAAGGUUGCUGCGUUCUAUAAAAACUUACAAAAUGCGAACGGGAAGUUUUUGGCUAAACUCCACGUAACAUCACUCAGUAAUAGGAGUGUGAACUACAAGACUAUGUUGGAGGAUGUGAGCAAGGAGCAGAAGUUUGAAGUGACCUAUGUCGAGGUUGAGGAGAAAAAUGAUGAUGGUGAACAUCAAUGUUUAGUUCAGAUCUCGACACUACCGAUUGCAGUUUGCUACGCCGCUGGCAAGGAUUAUGACAAGGCGCAGAAUGAAGCUGCUAGAAUUACACUUAACUAUCUGAAGAUGAUGACGAAAAGGUCUCAGAGGGGAAAGAAGUAGAAAUAAUUGGUACACCUUGCAACGAUGACCAGCGAACUGAGAGUUCAAUGAAUCUGAAUGGACAUUAAGAACAACCAUUUAAAACAUUUUAUUUUGGGGUUCAUCUUAAAAAUAAUUUUUGGACCCAUUAUUUAUACUUCGCUAGAUAUCGUUCCCUUUUGUACCUUCAAAUUUUUUUGUGGAUAAAGGAUUGUUAAUAAUCUUUAUCCUCUCUACCCCCAUAUAAAAUACAUGCAUGCCUGCCUUGACAGUUGAAUAAGCACAGUUGCAAUGCAUAAAAUAUUUGUUGACAGGGUUUCCAACUUUUAUUAUUUAUUUCGUAAACUUAUAUACCCUGCUUUGUAACGUAUGUAGAACUAGUCUUGAGAAUCUUCAUGUUGAUUUGUAGAUUCACAUUUUCUGCUUUAGUCAUUGUGUUAAUUAGCAUCAUUAAUAGGACAACGUUUUUUAAGUUAGGCGAAAAACUUGAAAUGUUAAUUUGUACGCUGAAAGGACUAGGACAAAAAGGGAAUAAAGUUUAUUGAUCGGGGACCAGAUUUAAUGAAUAGCUAGUAAGUUUAUUGAUCAGGGACCAGAUUUAAUGAAUAGCUAGUAAGUUUAUUGAUCAGGGACCAGAUUUAAUGAAUAGCUAGUAAGUUUAUUGAUCAGGGACCAGCUUUAAUAAAUAGCUAGUAAGUUUAUUGAUCAGGGACCAGAUUUAAUGAAUAGCUAGUAAGUUUAUUGAUCAGGGACCAGAUUUAAUCAAUAGCUAUUAAGUUUAUUGAUCACGGACCAGAUUUAAUGGAUAGCUAGUGAGUUUAACCACGUUUUUUUGUACGCCGGUUCAAGUCAAGGAGAGGCUGUUCAAAUCUACGUAAUUAAACUAUCGGCCGGGAAUAAUUUCCUCUCUGGUUUUAGUCCUUUUUGUGCUUAAUGCAUGCUACACAGCUUGCUAUUUAGUGCUUAAUGUUCAAAGUAUUAUUAUAAAACAAUGACACAACUGUACAUGUUUCUAAUGAACCACAUCACUUGUAUUGUACACAUGAACUGUUAAUGUUAGCUAUGUAAGAUGUGUAAUGGUAUAUUAUUAUCAUAUUCUACUGUGUAAACUGUCCUGUAUAUGUUUGUUUGUUUGUGCUGUGUAUCAGUUAGGUUAACUGGAGAGGGGGAAAUUCAAAACAAACCAUUCAAAUUAAGUCUCAUUAAUUCGGAAAUCAGUCAGGAAUUUAAAUACUUCCGCACAAAUAAAGCUAUUAAGCUCCCGGAUUAAUCCUGAGUUUUAAUCCAGAUUUAGAAAAUGCUCGCUGUUAAGAAAAUUUUUUAAAUCAGGAUUGACAGGUUUUCAACACAGAAUUCUUUCGGAAGUGCUGAUGAUCUUAAACCCUCGAUUAAAUAUAGUUACUGUAAUUAACUUUAAAAUGUAUACGAAAAUUUUACUAUUUGAUUGGUUUGUAUUGAGUUCCUUCUGACUGCGUAUAUUCAACUGUUGUGUGAGUAUAUCGUCUGAUAUAAACACAUAUAUUGAGCCAGGCCUGCCUGAGGAUACUUCAACUAAAGAUUAAACAAGGAGCUGGACUAGAACAGGAGCAGGAGCUGUAGGACAAAACAUGACCUUGAGAACAGGAGUGGGAGAUGUAGGACAAAAUAGGACCUUGAGAAGAGGAGUGGGAGAUUUAGGACAAAACAGGACCUUGAGAAGAGGAGUGGGAGAUUUAGGACAAAACAGGACCUUGAGAAAAGGAGUAGGCGCUUUAGGACAAGG
rnacentral:misc_RNA from 1 species